CAGUCAUCACGGCGAGAGAGAGAGCCACAUUUCGAUGAGCUGAUACCAAGAAUCUGGACGGAGUAAACAUCACUAAAAAAAUAAGAAGAUCAAUAUUUGGUGAACUAUUACGAAGGAAGAGUCGCUUGAAAGAGCACAAGAAAUGGAAAGAAAAAAAGAAUCAAGAAAAUAAAUCUAGUAAGAGCGGAACAUAAUGAUUAGGUCUUGAAUAGUGGUGGCAAUCUGACUUUGGCAACUUUGGUAUAACUGUGGGAGAUGGUUCUCGAGGCUUUUCUAUCUCGAAGAUGCUGGCCAGACGGGCCUUCUCUGACUUCCCGUAAAAAUUCCUAUGUCGCAGAGUGUAGCUUCGUCUUCUAAAGCUACUUUGUUUUUGCAUAGUCCUCGGCUCUUCCCGAUUGCGAGGUCUGAGGGAUUGCCUCAGAAGCAAGAGCUCGUGGCAACAACAAUGAAGACUCCCAUACUUCGAGUCUAUCAGAAAUCUAUGC